UACGUAGGGUGCAAGCGUUGUCCGGAAUUACUGGGCGUAAAGAGCUCGUAGGCGGUUUGUCGCGUCUGCUGUGAAAACCCGAGGCUCAACCUCGGGCCUGCAGUGGGUACGGGCAGACUAGAGUGCGGUAGGGGAGAUUGGAAUUCCUGGUGUAGCGGUGGAAUGCGCAGAUAUCAGGAGGAACACCAAUGGCGAAGGCAGAUCUCUGGGCCGUAACUGACGCUGAGGAGCGAAAGCAUGGGGAGCGAACAGG
rnacentral:rRNA from 1 species